rfam:Nematostella vectensis strain CH2 x CH6 NEMVEscaffold_158_Cont16231, whole genome shotgun sequence.
CCAACAUGGCAUCCAGCAGGCUGGCCCCUGCUGGCUCUGUCUUAAUGGUUGUAUGGGAGCUGAGUGCCUUGUGCACAUUGAUGUGUGUUCCCUUGCCAUGAUGUUGGAGAGCAAAACUGUCCCCAGGGUAUCUUCACUUUUGUGUUGAUCUCUGGCUUGGUACGGUGCAUUGCAUAUUCCUUGUGCUUCCCAGAGUUGCUCGGCAACAAUUACUGGGGGGAUAAACCAUGCAAUGAACAUUU